UGUUACAUUUCUUAGUCUCAUCAGGUGACAACUGCCAAACUCACAGAGGUUUGUUUCUCUCUCCUGCAAAACUUCUCUGCCACGCUCAAAAUUUAUGUGAGGAAUUGACAGAUAACUUGGGAAAAGCCAGCCCCAAAACAAACUGCUUUGAAAAGUUAUGAAAUCCUGUUAUUGUCUGAUAUUAAAAUCUUUUCCUGUCUAGCAAAGCCAGAGAUAAUCAUAGAUUUUCUCAUCUCAUUUUCCCACUUUUCCUGGUGCACCGUAAACCCAUCUGAAGUAUUACUUUUAUGACAGCUGACUAUUAAGCAGGCAGUGAAUGCUUUCCAUUUAAAUCACCCCGCUGUGUCACACGGAGCGACGGUUGCUCGGCUGUGACCACCACAGUCCCUGACAGGGCACUCCAGCCUAUACAGUAGAGCUUUUCCUCAAGUGCUCGAAAAAAUGAACUUCUGAACUGGCAAAAGCACUCUCGCCAGGAAUAUUUCUUAGGGCUGCGGAGCUGAUACAACUCGCUCACUCAGAAACAGCUACACUCUGCAAAUCGUUUUGUGAUUUGGACACAAGAGGAAAAUGUAUUAAAAACAUCCACUCAAUUUUAAACUAUAUCCUUUUCUGUUUGUAUUAGAAAGGGGAGCUUGUGGGUGCACAAGUCUUAUUUGGAUUAUUUUGUAUAUUAACUGUUGUUUAACUAUUUGGCUACAGCAAAAUUGUAAUUCUGGGCUGCACAAAUUAAUUAGAACUGCCAUUCAGGACAGAACUAACUUUUACUGAGCUUCAGUAGUACCGUUGCUUUUCUGUGAUGUGUGAGAUGAUAAGCAAAUGAUUUAGUGUAAGCACGAACUGCUAAUGUAACAUGCAGGGGUUUGAGGUUUUUUUUGUCCCGGUCUUACAAUCUGGACUACACAUCAGUGAAUGAUCUAUGCUACUACAGCAUCCCAGUUUGAACUUCUAGCUCCAGAUAGGAGCUGCUUACAGGAAAGGGUCUGACUAGCAUGGGAAGUGUUAAGUUUUAUUUUGAGGCCAGGAAAAAAAAAAAAAAAAAAAAAAGAUGGACACUGUGCCAGGGACUGUCCUUGCUCUGGCUAGCCAAAGUAUUUAUUGUCUUUUACUGCAGGUUUGCUAACGUUACCUGUCCUUUCAGUCCCACUGCUUACUGAAAAAAACCUCCCUCUCCAAAUAAUCACACAAAAUAUAAAGCAAAACUCUUAGUAACAAUCAGCCCAAGAAUUGGUGUCAGAUUCAAUUUUAUGCUGCUCUCUCGGCUCCUACCUCUCAAACCCAUCAUCUUACCCUCCCUUCUUAUUAUUUAUUUAGUAUUUCAUACCCAGUUGUGCUGCAUGUCAUUCCAGGCAAGUUCUGAUAAAUCUGUAUUCUAUAUGGGGUUUUAGCACCUGAUGUUGCUAGAGAUCUACUGACAAACUUUCUCUGGAUUGCUGUAUUAACCGCUUCUUCCUGUACCAACAUAUGAUUUUACCUCCCAAUAUUAAUUGUAAACACACCAACUAAAUAUUUUUUUUUAGAACAUACACUUUUCAGAUUAUGAAUGACAGAAGCAUGAAACCAUUUCCUUCCUGACAGUGGAGUGGUUAUGUGCAAAGAAAUGAGGAGUGCUGUUGGUUAACAGUGUUUUAAAUUCAGAACAAUUAGGUGCAGUUAACUUUGCCAUUGUUCUUUCUGAUGCUGGGGAUGGUGGGUUCUUACCCGUAGAGCAAUUACUCCUUUCAUAAGCGGCUGUUGUUAAUAGCAUUAAAACAAGAUUAAAUACAACAUGUUAAAUAUUGCAAUUAUUGUGGAAAAUAAAAUUAUUUGGUGAGCAUAAUGGGGAGCAAAUCAAGCAUUUAACAUGAUCCAGGAAAUGCUACUCCAAACAAUUGCAUUUGUUUUAUGCAAUUUUUCCCCUUUGAUUGCUGACAGAUGCCGUUUUGGAAACAAACAUCUAAGUAGUUUUCCUUCAAUCAGGAAAAAAACCACACACCAGAAAAUGGCUACAUGUUUUGAAUUUAACUCUUGUCAAUCAGCAUUCUGCACAACACUCCCUGUGAAUAGUACUGGGACAAAACGAUGCCUUCCAAAGACUAAUAAACAACAAAGAUAUUUGCUUCUAAAUCAGAUCUGCUCCGGAGAAAGAAAAAGCCUUCGUGUGGCAUCGACAUUUUUGCAGACACAGCUGCAAAAUAAAAAUGCUUGCAGUAUAGAGUGAUAUUUCAAGUUGGAAAGAAGUUAGGUGUGUGUGUUGUGGGCUACAGGAGAUUUGUUUUCUGCCAGCUGUAGGCCUCAAGCAAUGGAUUGAAGCACUUGGCAGUUUCUUUCCGACUUCCUACUGGAGAAGUGGCCAACUACCCACAAAUAAUUUGCUUAAUUGUUGAGCAGAGUUACCUGCUGCAGCUCACACAGCACGAGCAGGCCCCUCUAUCUUCCCUUAGCUGCAACUUUGGAUGAGGAUAUCGUUGUUCCUCUCAAGUGCACAGAACCAGGAAAGAAUGCUAAAAAAAGGCUAAUAAAGUAUAUUAAUUCAGAUGACUGUAUCAAGCUGGCAUUUUACAGUCUACUGGAAACUGAAUGCAUGAGAGCAUUAGAAAUGUUGGCAUAGUGGGUGGUUUCUCCAAAUGUUGGCUUCUAAUGUUCACAUCGGCACAAGAAACGCGGUAGAAUGGCGAGCAGUUCGCAGUUCCAGACACAUCUUUAGGAUCUUAGACCUCAUUAUUAGAUUAUCUAUUACUUGUACGAUACCCAUUGCUCAUUAACCCUCUCUUUGUUCCCUUUGCCUCCCCCUAUUUCUCCAGUUGCAAUUGCUCAGAACCUUUUCAGCUCAUUGCAACAGUGUGAUUUAGAUCUGCUCCUAAUUUCGGAGGCGUUUUCCUUGGGAAGCCUCAGCUUCGAUGAGUUAUGAGGAGGAUUUCCUUAUCUCAAACAGCGACAAUUAGUUCAAGUGCCACGUGAGAGCAGGCAGUUGAUUUUUGGGCAGCCUCUGAACUGAUGCAAAGUUUCUGACAAGGAGUGUGUUCUAGCUUUUGGAAAUCCUGUAAUCCUGGCUUCAAUCAAGAAGAUCUGCUGUUGCUGAAGGCGUAAACAAGGAGAGAAGCAGCAUGUGACCACUGCUGCUGCACCUUCAAGGACUCCCGAGCCAAAAUCAGCACAAUGGUAAAACUUCUACUGGUUACUUAAUGUUACACACACAUUUUGGAUGAUCUUCUUGAGCCCAGGGAAAGUAGUCCUUUGCCCUCUGCAGGAAAAGUUGGGUUUGGACUCUGCAUUUCCCCCUGUAGCUCUGUUGUGUGUGUUUCUCCCUGCUCCCCUCUCACUCCUCUGAUUUUCUUCCUACCAUCUGUAUUCCCCUUUUCCCUCAUCUGAAACAAGCAUCAAGAUCUUGUUUCUGACAGAACGGUCUGUCAAUAUGGAAACACACUGACAUCACAGACAGUGCUGUGACUUCAUGUCUGAAAGAAACAGGAGGAACAGAUGAAAGGACUGAAGGCGAAGGAAUGACACAUACAAACAUUUUUAAAAAAUAAGUAAAAAUUCUUCUCUAUCAACCCAAAAUGCAAAGGAACAUAAACCAGAUUUAUUUUUAAGUCUAAAUAUAACCAACUAUUUCCUAAUCUGUGGCCAUAACUCGGUACAACAUUUCAACAUGCUCUUCACCCAUGAGAGGUCCCUGUCCCCCAGGAGCACACGCUUUGCUGGCUCAAGGCCCGUGUGACAGACAACAUGACCUAGAGAAGGACUGAGCAGGGUUUGUAAAAAAAAGCCAAUAUCAAGCAUAUAUUGGGAGAAGCCUUUAGAGGGAAAGGAGGAAUCCUUCCCUGGACUAAUCUGUAUACCAUCUAAGCAAAUGCAAAUUCAUAGAAUUUGAAACAAAAGUAUUCUUUGAAAUCACAGAGUCCGUUUGGAUGAGGCUGGAUCACAGGUAGUGCUGCCUCGGUGGGGUGGGGAUACAAAACAUACUCAGGAAAUACUCAAUGCACGUGGGUGGAAUACCUUACUAUGAUUUUCUUUUUUUGCUCCUAGAAUGAAAUAUUAACAAAAGGGCCUAACCAUUAUUUCUAUUACUAACACAGGGCUUUUUUUGUAGAAGAAUUUGGGAGGAGUUGAAAGCCCCACAUUUCCUUUACUAUUUGAAUUAUGUAUUUGAGUUCCAGCAUUAGAGGGCACACAGAAGAUACUGCUUUCCUGGCAUCUCCAGAGCCACUGCAACCCCUUAAUAAGGAGAUUCAUAACUAGUAGAAGAGGAGCUCAAGAAAACUAAAAGAUGCUGAGUCCUCAGGAAAAGGGACCAAUGACUAAUAAAUCAGAUGUUUCUUCCUUCACCUACUGGGAUCAAUAAGAAGCAGGAGGAAAAGUUCUUGUUUGCAUGAGAUAAUGCAGACAAACAGCACCAUGUAGUGGGGAUCCACAGGGAAGCAGCUCAGCUCCCCAGUACAUCACACAAUCUGAUUUCUCUAGCCCAAGUUCUGAUAUAUUCAAAAUGAAUCCAGAAAGAAGCAGAGACUGAUUCACAACAUAGCUACAACUCCAUUACAACAGACAAACCCCAGCCUGCAGCUGAAGUUAUUUCGCCAAAGCAACAAACAACUGCUUUUCAAGUAAAAGCAGCACAUCACCUUGAGAAAACUGUUACAUAAAAUCACAUCUUCCUACCUCUGGGGAAAAAGCAGCAACUGGCAGCUGCCUCUGGAGGGAAAUUAGAUGGAGGAUCUGCUCCAAGAUGGUACUUUCUGAUCCCACCUCUUAUCAGUGUGGUGGCUGAAGCAAAGCCACCACCUCCUGCUUCCUUCUGUCCCCCUCCAAAUUCCCCGGGCAGCCAAACUUCUGUGGAUGUGCAAAUAGUUCAGGAGCAGCAGUCUGGCCAGCAGGUGAAAGAAAUUACUCCCACUGCAUACAGAAAAUACAGGCAUGAGAAGACACAUGGUUUGGGAUAGUGAGCUGCUAUGAAAUGCACUCUGGGCAACUGGGCAUGGGUGUUUUCCUCUCCCCAAGUAUCCACCAAGCUGUCCAAAACUUUGCUGUUUGAGAAGAUAUGCAAAGCAGAAUGUGUGUAAUUCAUCGUGUCCAGCAAUAAACAAAAUAUUAAGUGCAUUUUUAAUGACAUAAAACCUUUUAAAAUACUUUUAAAUCUUUCACUGUGGGACAUCAUUAAAAUUGUUUUGCUAUCUGCAAAAGGCGUGGCCUCCAAUCACAUAAUUAAGCAGUCAAAAAUUGAAAAAUUGGAUUGUUUGGUUCCCACACCACACAAAUACUGAUAAAAGCUUUUUUUGUUUGUCAGUUAGUGCACUGUAAUUUACAGGUUAUGGGCAACACUGUUUGGCAAAUUUAGAGUUUGAAGACCACAUCCACCUCUCCCCAUGUCUUGUCCACACUGGAUACUUUACUCGGGCACUCACUAUGGUUUCAGUAGCUGCAUGCACUCAAAUAAUG